CUCUCUCUCUCUCUCUCUCUCUCUCUCUCUCUCUCCGUGGCCAUGUCUCCAAAUUCGCUCGGCGGCGGCGAAGACGAAUCGGUACUUCUUCGGUCCCGUCUCCCGCCCGUCGGAUCCCUCAAUCUCCUCUCCGAUUCUUGGCAUUCCCACACUGAUCGGAUCCUCCCUUUCCUGACCGAAAAUACCGAUUUCACGGUCAUCAGCAUCAUUGGUCCGACCAGUGUUGGCAAAUCGAUGAUACUAAACGACCUUUAUGGAUUCAAUGAGAGCACGCCCGGAAUGCUCCCACCUUUUACAUUGCAGUCGGAAGAAACAUGAGCAUUGGCUAGGCAUUGUACAACGGGAAUUGAACUUAGGAUUUCUGCUAAAAGGCUGAUUCUUCUUGAUACCCAGCCUUUAUUCAGCCCUUCUAUUCUAGUUGAGAUGAUUAGACCUGAUGGUUCGUCUUCAGUUUCUGUAUUAAAUGGUGAAUCCCUGUCAGCUGACCUGGCUCAUGAAUUGAUGGGUAUUCAGGAACCGUUCUAGCUUGGUGUUUUCCUAGUAUUCAUUAGUCAUGUUUUACUGGUGGUAUCAGAGGGAGUUCAUGAUGUUAAUAUGUGGCAUCUGAUGCUGACGGGAUGGAGUGAGUGAAUCGCAAUUCACAUAGGUCCUAAACAUCGAGCUGGAUUAGAUUAUCGAGGUAUUCUUGCCAUGGAAAAUGCCAUGAAUAAUUAUCAAAGCUAUAAUGUUCCACCUGGGAUGGAGUGAGUGAAUCGCAAUUCACAUAGGUCCUAAACAUUGAGCUGGAUUAGAUUAUCGAGGCACUGUUGUGGACAAAGCAAUUUGCCAUCCGCGAAACGACGACUUCUACAUGUGUUCACACGCAGGAAUGAUUAUAAGAUUUGACAUGGAGCUGACCUUUGUGUUAAAUUGUGGGAAGUCACCAUCCAUCCUCCAUUGAUUAAUUGCAUCGCCCGGUCUUUUUUAUUGUGCUCAUAUCCAUACACAAACAGAAAGAAUUCGUACACAAUCAAUCAAGGUGCGUGUGGAUUGCUUACUUUUGCAUUGUCUUUUCCUUUAAACAGGGAACAACGCGCCCUACUCACUACCAUGUUUUGCUGGAUGAGAUUGGCUUCUCCCCUGAUGAUCUCCGUGAGCUUGCGCAUUCAUUGUCCUAUGUGUAUCAGAGGAGCACAACUGCGAUAUCAAUCGGUAAGUACCGUGUUUCUGUUAAAUGGCAAUUGCCUAUUUUAUGUUAUGAGGGGUUUUAAUUACUAUAUCCCUGUCAAAGGACUCUUUUGAGUUGUAGGGCUGCAACUUGGGAUCAACCAAAACCUUACUUACCCAAACGUAACCUAGGGUUUAGUUGGGGCUGGGUUGUUGGGUUCCUCGUUUGGUUAGGGUUGGAAAACUUAUAUGUAUUUGUGCGUGGAUGAAUGUGUGUUGUAUGUGGAUGUGGAUAGGAUUGUUUGUGUAUGGAUGGAUACGGUUUGUGUUUGGAUGGAUGUAA